GGGGAAUCUUCCGCAAUGGACGAAAGUCUGACGGAGCAACGCCGCGUGAGUGAUGAAGGUCUUCGGAUUGUAAAGCUCUGUUAAUCGGGACGAAAGAGUUCUGUGUAAAUAAUGCAGAAAAGUGACGGUACCGGAAUAGAAAGCCACGGCUAACUACGUGCCAGCAGCCGCGGUAAUACGUAGGUGGCAAGCGUUGUCCGGAAUUAUUGGGCGUAAAGCGCGCGCAGGCGGCCUAUCCAGUCUGUCUUAAAAGUUCGGGGCUCAACCCCGUGAUGGGAUGGAAACUAGUAGGCUAGAGUAUCGGAGAGGAAAGCGGAAUUCCUAGUGUAGCGGUGAAAUGCGUAGAUAUUAGGAAGAACACCAGUGGCGAAGGCGGCUUUCUGGACGAAAACUGACGCUGAGGCGCGAAAGCCAGGGGAGCGAACGGGAUUAGAUACCCCGGUAGUCCUGGCCGUAAACGAUGGGUACUAGGUGUAGGAGGUAUCGACCCCUUCUGUGCCGGAGUUAACGCAAUAAGUACCCCGCCUGGGGAGUACGGUCGCAAGGCUG
rnacentral:rRNA from 1 species